rnacentral:rRNA from 1 species
AUGAACUGUUCUGAAUUUGUUCAAGGAGCUACAACAGAGGGGCUACAGAGACGAGAUUCUCCACCUAUGACACAUAGUCAAAGAGCGACAAGAUCACCAUUGGUAAGGUCACCGGUGGCGAGCACGUGGAGAUCUUCCCUUGGUCUUCUAGCAAGAGUUGCAGCCUCAAAAAGGGGCAGGUCUCCCUCAACGAGGAUUGCAAGUUCCCCAUUGGAGGAGAGGGCAAAUUCGUCCACGAGAUCACCAUCUAUCUUAGGACCCCCUUCUCCAGUGACUACUCCAUUUGGAGGCUCAAAAAUUAAUCAUCCACAUGUCCGCAAGACAAGAAGGCUAACUUCUGCUGUUUGGAGGGAUUUCAAACCAAUUUAUCGUCAUAAGAUACUUGUCAAAGCUCAGUGCAAGCACUGUCAUGAAGUGUUUCAAGCUGGACGAGAUGUUGGCACAAGUGGUGUAAGAAGACACUUGGCUGCUUGCGAAAAAAGGUCAGAUUUACACCUCUACGUUGAGAAGAUGAAGUCCUCGGUUUCAUCUCCUGAUGCCUCUAUGCUUAAGCAAUGGAACUUUAAUCAAGAAACAUCUAGAGAUUUGCUUGCCAGAAUGAUAGUAAUGCAUGAGUUGCCUUUCUCAAUAGUUGAGUACCGUGGUUUUAGAGACUUCGUGAAAAGUUUGAAUCCCUUGUUCAAAAAUGUUUCUAGAAAUACUAUUAAAGAUGAGUGCAUGAAACACUAUAAUUUGGAGAGGUCGGCGUUCUUUGGACAUUUGAAGAAAUACAAUGGUAGAGUUUCUUUAACAGCGGACAUGUGGACAUCUAAUCAGACUUUGUCCUAUCUAUGCAUCACUUGCCAUUUGAUCAACAACAAGUGGAUUUUGCAAAAGAGGAUCUUCAGAUUUUUUAUGGUGGAGACUCCACAUAACGGAGUAACAAUGUUUAAUGUCUUAUUAAAGAGUUUGCAGGAGUGUAAUAUUGAGGACAAACUCUUUAGUAUGACAUUGGAUAAUGCAUCAGUUACUGGUACAAUGGUCAAUAAUCUUAGAAAAAAUCUGAACAGCAAGCAUAUGUUGCCUAUUAAAGGUCAAUUACUUCAUAUCCGUUGUGCAUGCCAUGUGAUAAAUUUGAUUGUCCAAGAUGGGUUGACAACGAUGAAAGGUGUGAUAGAUGAUAUCAGAGAGAGUGUGAAGUACAUUAAGAGUUCUCCCUCUCGGUUGGACAAGUUCAAAGAAGUAGUUGCGCAAGUUGGUAUCUCUUGCAAACUCCCCUCAGCUGAUGUGCCAACACGUUGGAACUCCACCUAUAUUAUGUUGGAGUCAGCGCUCCCCUUUCGAAGAGCCUUUCGUGCUUUGGUGCAAAAGGACCCAGAUUAUGUGUUUUGCCCAUCCUCACGAGAGUGGAAAAAUGUUGAUACAGUUUGUGUUAUGUUAAAAGUUUUUCACACAGCCACAAAUGUACUUUCUGGUUCAAGUUAUUCUACCUCAAAUUUGUACUUUCAUCAAAUCUGGAAUGUGAGGUUAUUGCUGCAGAAGGAAGCUUCAACAAAGGAUGAAGUCGUUCAAGCAAUGGUUGGAGAGAUGCAAAAAAAGUUUGAUAAGUAUUGGAUGGAAUCAUAUUUGCCAAACUGUAUUCCUGUGAUCCUUGAUCCACGAUUUAAACUUUGCUUCAUCGAGUUUCGACUAAAACAAGCUUUUGGUCCAGAUGUAGAAAGACACUUGCUUGCAGUGAAAGAAGUUCUUGACAACCUUUUCGAAGAAUAUUCUUCACAAAUGACGGAUGCAUUGGAUGAGUCAGCACCCCGACAAAAUUUUGAUGAGGUUGUGAAUGAAGAGAAUUAUCCGUUGGCGGAUUGGGACCAACACUUGAAUAAGAAGCAAUGCCAAACUGCUAGUGAGCUUGCCAGAUACUUAGAAGAAGACACAUUCACUCGCACGGAGGAUUUCAACAUUCUUCAAUGGUGGCAUCUUCACUCGUCUAAGUAUCCCAUCCUUUCUUGUAUAGCUCGUGAUGUUCUUGCUGUACAAGCUUCCGUCGUAUCGUCAUAG